rnacentral:rRNA from 1 species
UAGCAUAUCAAUAAGCGGAGGAAAAGAAACCAACAGGGAUUGCCCUAGUAACGGCGAGUGAAAGCGGCAUCAGCUCAAAUUUGAAAUCUGGCUCUUUCAGAGUCCGAGUUGUAAUUUGCAGAGGGCGCUUUGGCGUUGGCAGCGGUCCAAGUUCCUUGGAACAGGACGUCACAGAGGGUGAGAAUCCCGUACGUGGUCGCUGGCCUUCACCGUGUAAAGCCCCUUCGACGAGUCGAGUUGUUUGGGAAUGCAGCUCUAAAUGGGAGGUAAAUUUCUUCUAAAGCUAAAUACUGGCCAGAGACCGAUAGCGCACAAGUAGAGUGAUCGAAAGAUGAAAAGCACUUUGGAAAGAGAGUCAAAUAGCACGUGAAAUUGUUGAAAGGGAAGCGCUUGCAGCCAGACUUGCCUGUAGUUGCUCAUCCGGGCUUUUGCCCGGUGCACUCUUCUGCGGGCAGGCCAGCAUCAGUUUGGGCGGUUGGAUAAAGGCCUCUGUCAUGUACCUCCUUUCGGGGAGGCCUUAUAGGGGAGGCGACAUGCAACCAGCCUGGACUGAGGUCCGCGCAUCUGCUAGGAUGCUGGCGUAAUGGCUGUAAGCGGCCCGUCUUGAAACACGGACCAAGGAGUCUAACAUCUAUGCGAGUGUUUGGGUGUCAAGCCCGAGCGCGCAAUGAAAGUGAACGGAGGUGGGAUCCCUUAAGGGUGCACCAUCGACCGAUCCUGAUGUCUUCGGAUGGAUUUGAGUAAGAGCAUGGCUGUUGGGACCCGAAAGAUGGUGAACUAUGCUUGAAUAGGGUGAAGCCAGAGGAAACUCUGGUGGAGGCUCGCANCGGUUCUGACGUGAAAAUCGAUCGA